rnacentral:rRNA from 1 species
UUGACAUGCAGGUGAUCGCCGUUGAAAGACGGUUUCCUCUUCGGAGGCACCUGCACAGGUGCUGCAUGGCUGUCGUCAGCUCGUGUCGUGAGAUGUGGGUUAAGUCCCGCAACGAGCGCAACCCUUAUCCCCAGUUGCCAUCAGGUAAAGCUGGGAACUCUGGGGAGACUGCCGGUGAUAAACCGGAGGAAGGCGGGGAUGACGUCAAGUCCUCAUGGCCCUUACAUCCCGGGCUACACACGUGCUACAAUGGCAGGUACAGAGGGCUGCGAAGCCGCGAGGUGGAGCGAAUCCCAGAAAACCUGUCUCAGUCCGGAUUGAAGUCUGCAACUCGACUUCAUGAAGGCGGAAUCGCUAGUAACCGCGAAUCAGCAGGUCGCGGUGAAUACGUUCCCGGGCCUU